rnacentral:tRNA from 1 species
GCCUUCGUGGUGUAAUGGUCAGUACACUCAGCGCGUAUUCGAGAGAGAUCCGAAGUUCGAAUCCCGGCGAGGGCU